rnacentral:misc_RNA from 1 species
UUUCCGUAGGUGAACCUGCGGAAGGAUCAUUAUUGUAUAACCGAGGUGCGAGGGCUGUCGCUGACCCGAAAGGUCGUGCACGCCCGAGUGCCCUCACACACAUCCACCUCACCCUUAUGUGUGCCACCGCGUGGGUCCCCCUUUGGCUUGUUCGGAGGGGGGCUUACGUUUUCACACAAACUUUGUAUGCAGUGUAGAAUGUAUUUUUUGUUUUUGCGAUCACGCAAUCAAUACAACUUUCAACAACGGAUCUCUUGGCUCUC